AAGUUCUGGUGUAGUCGCACACGUGUCCGAUCUCUACGAGUAUCCAUAUAAGGCUUGAUCUGAUUGAAGGCUCUUUGAUCUCUCUGGAGUGCUAGCUCCUUUGCAAAGAUUACUUCCUUGAUGGUUAAAUUUGAUCUCCUUCAAUCUCUAAGACCCUCUCAAGAAAGAAGAAGAAAUAGGAGGAAGAAGAAGACUUUAGAGAGGUGAGAACCCUUCUAACCCUUCCCUCUUUCUCCUUAGGAUUUUCUCACGCCCAAGGAGAUCCCACGCCCAAGCUUUCACGCCCAAAGAGUUGUGAUUUUUUUUUCUCCACGCCCUCUAGGUCCUUUUUAUAGAUGGCAUCUAUAGUUUGAUUAAGACUAAAUUUGACAGAAUUAAAUCUAAUCAAAGUAGGACUCCAACUUUGAUCCAAUCAAAACUAGAUCAAAUCUGAUUUAAUCCUCAUCCAAAAAGGGAAUAAGAGAGGAGGCAUGGAAGGGCUUGGGCUGAUCCAUUCACAUGUCAAAUCCAAUUUGGCAUGGAGCUUAGGUGGCGUAAGG
rnacentral:lncRNA from 1 species